GAUGAACGCUGGCGGCGUGCCUAAUACAUGCAAGUCGAGCGAACGGACGAGAAGCUUGCUUCUCUGAUGUUAGCGGCGGACGGGUGAGUAACACGUGGAUAACCUACCUAUAAGACUGGGAUAACUUCGGGAAACCGUAGCUAAUACCGGAUAAUAUUUUGAACCGCAUGGUUCAAAAGUGAAAGACGGUCUUUCUGUCACUUAUAGAUGGAUCCGCGCUGCAUUAGCUAGUUGUUAAGGUAACGGCUUACCAAGGCAACGAUGCAUAGCCGACCGGAGAGGGGGGUCGGCCACACUGGAACUGAGACGCGGUCCAGACGCCUACGGGAGGCAGCAGUAGGGAAUCGUCCGCAAUGGGCGAAAACAUGACGGAGCAACGCCGCGUGAGUGAUGAUGGUCUUCGGAUCGUAAAACUCUGUUAUUAGGGGAGAACAUAUGUGUAAGUAACUGUGCACAGCUUGACGGUACCUAAUCAGAAAGCCACGGCUAACUACGUG
rnacentral:rRNA from 1 species